UCAGGAAAGGAAAGGAGCGAUUCCAAGCAAAUGGAGGAGCAUGCUUGAUUGUCUGAAGGUGAUCAGUAGAACUGGCUGAUUGAAGAUGAACAGGAAUGGUGUGGUCAGUGUUCAUUCAUUUAUUUAUUCAUUCCAUAAGUAACUCUGGGUAUAUAAAGGUUAACAAGCCAGUGUGGAAAAUAAAAAUCUUAAUAAAAUGUUUUUCAAAUUUCCAUCUAGUGUACUGAUACCUAGUUUUAAUGAUUGGACCCACUGCCAAAGAUCUAUGACUCCAUGAUGUCUCUGUUCUGAACCACACAGGAGACCUUUGCCCUCAGGUUGAAAGUGCACUCCACAUAUGAACAGAAAAAAUAGAUCUGUACCAAGUCAUGUCCCAGUGAAACUUUAGAACAUCCAGAGUAAAAAGAGAACAGUACAAACCUGAAGACAGAGAAGAGACUGCCUGCAACAGAAACAACAGUUAGUCGAGCAGCAUACUUCGUCCAGCAACAAUACAUGCUGCAGGAGGGUCACUGAUCCCUUCAAAGUGCUGAGAAGCCCCACCUGCUCCUCACACCAUGUAUGUGUGGAAUCCGUGCACAGAACACUGACAGCUCUCUCCAAAGAAUUAGG